CGAAUUUUAUCGACUUUUUUCUACCAUCCCUUCUAAAUUUGUCGUCAUUGGAGUAUCGAUCAUCGCACCACUGCCGCAUUUUGCAUGCAGUCCAUACCCUUCAACCCUCUGCAGAUCCUUUGCAUUGAUGAUCAGGGCUCUGAGACCUACUAGUCUGGGAUUUUGCGUUUGGCUGCUGGAGAAUGCUGCGUGCCGCUUUAUCCCUUUUAGGGCAUUACAUCAUUCUUUCAGCUCUGAAGCACGCUAUCUGUCGUUUCUUUCUGUUGGUGAGUUGUGGUUUGCUUUAUCUUCUUAUCUCUCGCACUUCUUUUUCCGAUCUCUACUACGGCUCCAUCUGCUCGUAUUCGCUUCUCCCACGCGAACCGCGAUUCCUGAAUGGGCCAAUAGCAAACAAUCUCUUCUUCCCCACUCUAUCUCUUCUGUCUUAUAACCACGGGCAGUUGAGAAGAGAAGACUAGAUGACACACGUUCCUUCUCCCUUCGUUUCAUCGCAAUCUUGAUUUUAUUUUCAUCAUCAGCACUAUGACCGUGCCCUUAAGCACUCGGUAUGGUCUCACAAACCUUUCUUCUAACACAUCAUUAAACAUGCACCUUAUGCCCAUCUCCAAUUAUCUGAACUUGUUUCUUGUCUGCGUUCUCUCUUAGUGUUUGGACCAGCACCGUGCUCAAGGUAUCCUGGCAAAAAUAUUAGUUCAUCCUUCCCUUGGCCUGACUCAAGACUUCUUCCUUUUUAUUCACAGGAAGGUGUCAACUGAACUGGCCUAGAGCAAAAUUCUGCCUAUACCCCACUUAUAUUCGUCCAUCUCGACAAGCAAGGUUCCAAUGUAGUACUUGGCUGGCCACGGAAUGGGUUCGUUGAGUGGCGCUGGCUUACAUAUAACCAAGUCUACUCCCUUCUCUUGCCUUGAAUAAUUUCAUGUCUUAAUGGAAGAAACAAGCGGAAAGGAAUCACGCAUGUGAUAUUGGAUGGGAUUGCUGUAGCGUAGAUGGGAUGAAAUGAGAUAUCCAGUGAUGUGCGAAAACACCUUCAUUCCUUUAGUUAGCUUGGAUCAUGUCGAACUAAGGGCGGUGUAAGGCAACCGUAUUUGAGUUGGCGAGUUUAACUUAACAAGCCAAAUGCAAGCUAAGGUCUGGGGUGGAG
rnacentral:sRNA from 1 species